GACAGAGGGUGCAAACGUUGUUCGGAAUUACUGGGCGUAAAGCGAGUGUAGGCGGUUUGGUAAGUCGGAUGUGAAAGCCCUGGGCUCAACCCAGGAAGUGCAUUCGAUACUGUCAAGCUAGAGUAUCGGAGAGGUUGGUGGAAUUCUCGGUGUAGAGGUGAAAUUCGUAGAUAUCGAGAGGAACACCGGUGGCGAAGGCGGCCAACUGGACGAAUACUGACGCUGAGAACUCGAAAGCGUGGGGAGCAAACAGG
rnacentral:rRNA from 1 species